UCAGGAUUAACGCUGGCGGCAUGCCUAAUACAUGCAAGUCGAAUGGUUAGCUUGCUAACCAUGGCGAACGGGUGAGUAACACGUAGGUAACCUGUCUUCAAGACGAGGAUAACCAUUGGAAACGAUGGAUAAUACUGGAUAGGACAAAUCCCCGCAUGAGGAGAUGUUUAAAGGAGCAAUCCACUUGAUGAGGGGCCUGCGGUGCAUUAGCUAGUUGGUGAGGUAAAGGCCCACCAAGGCGAUGAUGCAUAGCCGGACUGAGAGGUUGAACGGCCACAAUGGAACUGAGAACGGUCCAUACUCCUACGGGAGGCAGCAGUAGGGAAUUUUCGGCAAUGGGCGGAAGCCUGAACCCGAGCAAUGCCGCGUGAACGAUGAAGUAUUUCGGUAUGUAAAGUUCUUUUAUUUGGGAAGAAAAAACAAAUUGACGGUACCAAAUGAAUAAGCUCCGGCUAACUACGUGCCAGCAGCCGC
rnacentral:rRNA from 1 species